rnacentral:rRNA from 1 species
GAGUUUGAUCAUGGCUCAGAUUGAACGCUGGCGGCAGGCCUAACACAUGCAAGUCGAGCGGAUGAAGGGAGCUUGCUCCUGGAUUCAGCGGCGGACGGGUGAGUAAUGCCUAGGAAUCUGCCUGGUAGUGGGGGAUAACGUCCGGAAACGGGCGCUAAUACCGCAUACGUCCUGAGGGAGAAAGUGGGGGAUCUUCGGACCUCACGCUAUCAGACGAGCCUAGGUCGGAUUAGCUAGUUGGUGGGGUAAAGGCCUACCAAGGCGACGAUCCGUAACUGGUCUGAGAGGAUGAUCAGUCACACUGGAACUGAGACACGGUCCAGACUCCUACGGGAGGCAGCAGUGGGGAAUAUUGGACAAUGGGCGAAAGCCUGAUCCAGCCAUGCCGCGUGUGUGAAGAAGGUCUUCGGAUUGUAAAGCACUUUAAGUUGGGAGGAAGGGCAGUAAGUUAAUACCUUGCUGUUUGACGUUACCAACAGAAUAAGCACCGGCUAACUUCGU